rnacentral:rRNA from 1 species
GACGAACGCUGGCGGCGUGCCUAAUACAUGCAAGUUGAGCGCUGAAGGUUGGUACUUGUACCAACUGGAUGAGCAGCGAACGGGUGAGUAACGCGUGGGGAAUCUGCCUUUGAGCGGGGGACAACAUUUGGAAACGAAUGCUAAUACCGCAUAAAAACUUUAAACACAAGUUUUAAGUUUGAAAGAUGCAAUUACAUCACUCAAAGAUGAUCCCGCGUUGUAUUAGCUAGUUGGUGAGGUAAAGGCUCACCAAGGCGAUGAUACAUAGCCGACCUGAGAGGGUGAUCGGCCACAUUGGGACUGAGACACGGCCCAAACUCCUACGGGAGGCAGCAGUAGGGAAUCUUCGGCAAUGGACGAAAGUCUGACCGAGCAACGCCGCGUGAGUGAAGAAGGUUUUCGGAUCGUAAAACUCUGUUGGUAGAGAAGAACGUUGGUGAGAGUGGAAAGCUCAUCAAGUGACGUUAACUACCCAGAAAGGGACGGCUAACUACGUG